AACGUCGAUAUUCGACGUAAUAAACACGAUCAACUUUGGUGUUUAUGACGUCGAUAUUCGACGUCAUAAACACGAUCAACUUUGGUGUUUAUGACGUCGAUAUUCGACGUAAUACACACGAUCAACUUUGGUGUUGAUGACGUCGAUAUUCGACGUCAUAAACACGAUCAACUUUGGUGUUUAUGACGUCGAUAUUCGACGUA
rnacentral:miRNA from 1 species